rnacentral:rRNA from 1 species
CACAGAGGGUGCAAGCGUUAAUCGGAAUUACUGGGCGUAAAGCGAACGUAGACGGUUGGAUAAGUCGGAUGUGAAAGCCCCGGGCUCAACCUGGGAAUUGCAUUCGAGACUGUUCAGCUAGGGUGCGGAAGAGGGAAGCGGAAUUUCCGGUGUAGCGGUGAAAUGCGUAGAUAUCGGAAGGAACACCAGUGGCGAAAGCGGCUUCCUGGUCCAGCACCGACGUUCAGGUUCGAAAGCAUGGGGAGCAAACAGG